rnacentral:rRNA from 1 species
GGCUUAGAGUUUGAUCAUGGCUCAGGAUAAACGCUGGCGGCGCACAUAAGACAUGCAAGUCGAACGGACUUAAUCGAUUCUUUUAGAUUCGAAGCGGUUAGUGGCGGACUGGUGAGUAACACGUAAGCAACCUACCUAUUAGUGGGGAAUAACAGUGAGAAAUCACUGCUAAAACCGCAUAUGCCGUGAACAUCGCAUGAUGAAAACGGGAAAAGAGCAAUCUGCUAAUAGAUGGGCUUGCGUCUGAUUAGCUAGUUGGUGUGGUAACGGCAUACCAAGGCAACGAUCAGUAGCCGGACUGAGAGGUUGAACGGCCACAUUGGGACUGAGAUACGGCCCAGACUCCUACGGGAGGCAGCAGUCGGGAAUAUUGCGCAAUGGAGGAAACUCUGACGCAGUGACGCCGCGUAUGGGAAGAAGGUUUUCGGAUUGUAAACCAUUUUAGACAAGGAAGAAACAAGACAGUACUUGUAGAAUAAGCUCCGGCUAACUACGUGCCAGCAGCCGCGGUAAUACGUAGGGAGCAAGCGUUAUCCGGAUUUAUUGGGUGUAGAGGGUGCGUAGACGGGAAGGUAAGUUAGUUGUGAAAUCCCUCGGCUCAACUGAGGAACUGCGACUAAAACUGCUUUUCUUGAGUGCUGGAGAGGAAAGUGGAAUUCCUAGUGUAGCGGUGAAAUGCGUAGAUAUUAGGAGGAACACCAGUGGCGAAAGCGACUUUCUGGACAGUAACUGACGUUGAGGCACGAAAGUGUGGGGAGCAAACAGGAUUAGAUACCCUGGUAGUCCACACCGUAAACGAUGGAUACUAGGUGUAGGGGAUAUUAAGUCUUCUGUGCCGUCGCAAACGCAGUAAGUAUCUCACCUGGGGA